rnacentral:rRNA from 1 species
GACGAACGCUGGCGGCGUGCUUAACACAUGCAAGUCGAACGCAGUGGCGAACGGGUGAGUAACGCGUAAUCACCCUGCCCUUCAGAGGGGGAUAACAGUAGGAAACGACUGCUAAUACCGCAUACUGAAGGAGGGGCUUGCGUCUGAUUAGCUAGGUGGAGGGGUAACGGCCCACCAAGGCGAUGAUCAGUAGGCGGUCUGGGAGGAGGGACGGCAAAAUUGGGAAUGGGACACGGCCCCGACUCCUACGGGAGGCAGCAGUGGGGAAUCUUCCGCAAUGGAAGAAAGGCUGAAGAGGCAACGCCGCGGGAAGGAUGACGGCCUUCGGGUUGUAAAGCUCUGUUAAUCGGGACGCGGUACCGGAAUAGAAAGCCACGGCUAACUACGUGCCAGCAGCCGCGGUAAUAC